AGAGUUUGAUCCUGGCUCAGGACGAACGCUGGCGGCGUGCUUAACACAUGCAAGUCGAACGGUAAGGCUCCUUCGGGAGUACACGAGUGGCGAACGGGUGAGUAACACGUGAGCAAUCUACCCUUGACUCUGGGAUAACAGUUGGAAACAACUGCUAAUACCGGAUACGACCUUGGCGGGCAUCCGACGGGGUGGAAAGUUCCGGCGGUCAGGGAUGAGCUCGCGGCCUAUCAGCUUGUUGGUGAGGUAACGGCUCACCAAGGCGUCGACGGGUAGCCGGCCUGAGAGGGCGACCGGCCACACUGGGACUGAGAUACGGCCCAGACUCCUACGGGAGGCAGCAGUGGGGAAUAUUGCGCAAUGGGCGAAAGCCUGACGCAGCAACGCCGCGUGCGGGACGACGGCCUUCGGGUUGUAAACCGCUUUCACCCAUGACGAAGUGAAAAUGACGGUAGUGGGGGAAGAAGCACCGGCCAACUACGUGCCAGCAGCCGCGGUGAUACGUAGGGUGCGAGCGUUGUCCGGAAUUAUUGGGCGUAAAGAGCUUGUAGGCGGUCUGUUGCGUCGAAAGUGAAAACUCAGGGCUCAACCCUGAGCCUGCUUUCGAUACGGGCAGACUAGAGGAAGGUAGGGGAGAACGGAAUUCUUGGUGGAGCGGUGGAAUGCGCAGAUAUCAGGAAGAACACCGGUGGCGAAGGCGGUUCUCUGGACCUUUCCUGACGCUGAGAAGCGAAAGCGUGGGUAGCAAACAGGCUUAGAUACCCUGGUAGUCCACGCCGUAAACGGUGGGUACUAGGUGUGGGGAGCAUUCCACGUUCUCCGUGCCGUAGCUAACGCAUUAAGUACCCCGCCUGGGGAGUACGGCCGCAAGGCUAAAACUCAAAGGAAUUGACGGGGCCCCGCACAAGCGGCGGAGCAUGCGGAUUAAUUCGAUGCAACGCGAAGAACCUUACCUGGGUUUGACAUACACCGGAAACACCUAGAGAUAGGUGCCCCCUUGUGGUCGGUGUACAGGUGGUGCAUGGCUGUCGUCAGCUCGUGUCGUGAGAUGUUGGGUUAAGUCCC
rnacentral:rRNA from 1 species